rnacentral:rRNA from 1 species
UGCAGUCAUACGAGAGUUUUUAACUCAAGUGGCGGACGGGUGAGUAACACGUAAGAAUUUGCCUUUAGGAGGGGGAUAACAACUGGAAACGGUUGCUAAUACCCCAUAUGCUUUUUAGUGAAAUGGAUUUUUCCGCCUAGAGAGAAGCUUGCGCCUGAUUAGCUUGUUGGUGAGGUAAUGGCUCACCAAGGCGACGAUCAGUAUCUGGUUUGAAAGGACGAUCAGACACACUGGAACUGAGACACGGUCCAGACUCCUACGGGAGGCAGCAGUGGGGAAUUUUCCGCAAUGGGCGAAAGCCUGACGGAGCAAUCUCGCGUGAGGGAUGACGGCCUAUGGGUUGUAAACCUCUUUUUUCAGGGAGGAAUAAAUGACGUGUACCUGAAGAAUAAGCAUCGGCUAACUCCGUGCCAGCAGCCGCGGUAAGACGGAGGAUGCAAGUGUUAUCCGGAAUCACUGGGCGUAAAGCGUCUGUAGGUGGUUUAAUAAGUCAACUGUUAAAUCUUGAGGCUUAACUUCAAAAUCGCAGUCGAAACUAUUAGACUAGAGUAUAGUAAGGGUAAAGGGAAUUUCCAGUGGAGCGGUGAAAUGCGUAGAGAUUGGAAAGAACACCGAUGGCGAAGGCACUUUACUGGGCUAUUACUGACACUCAGAGACGAAAGCUAGGGUAGCAAAUGGGAUUAGAUACCCCAGUAGUCCUAGCCGUAAACAAUGGAUACUAGAUGUUGAACAGAUCGGCCUGUGCAGUAUUAAAGCUAACGCGUUAAGUAUCCCGCCUGGGNNGUAUGCUCGCAAGANUGAAACUCAAAGGAAUUGANNGGGCCCNCACAAGCGGNGGA